UAUGACCAUACCAUAUUGAAACUCCAGUUCCCAUAUGAUCACCACAGUUAAGCAACAUUGGGCCUGGUCAAUACCUGAUGGCUGCUUGGGAAUACCAGCUACUGUAAG